rnacentral:rRNA from 1 species
UACGUAGGGGGCGAGCGUUAUCCAGAUUUACUGGGCGUAAAGCGCGUGUAGGCGGCUGGUUAGGUGUGAUGUGAAAUCCUCGUGCUCAACCCGAGAACUGCAUUGCAAACCGGCCUGGCUAGAGUGCAGGAGAGGGAAGCGGAAUUCCAGGUGUAGCGGUGAAAUGCGCAGAUAUCGGGAAGAACACCCGUGGCGAAGGCGGUUCUCUGGGACGGUACUGACGCUGAGACGCGAAAGCGUGGGGAGCGAACAGG